rnacentral:lncRNA from 1 species
UUCGACAAAGGCAAAGUUGAGCAUAUGGAGGUGAAGUUUGCCACAAACUAGGUCAAGCUCAUCCGAGUGUUGAAGGUGUACCUAAUGGCCUAUCAGGUCGGCUUCAAAAAGUACAAAUCUCUAGCCAAGCAACUUUUUCUUGGGAUUGAUGUCGAUCUCCUUAAAGAGCUACCCCCUAAUGAUUCAUAGCUUCCCGUGGUCAUCAUUGAUGCAGCA